ACGGGUGCGUAACGCGUGGGAAUCUGCCCUUGGGUUCGGAAUAACAGUUAGAAAUGACUGCUAAUACCGGAUGAUGUCUUCGGACCAAAGAUUUAUCGCCCAAGGAUGAGCCCGCGUAAGAUUAGCUAGUUGGUGGGGUAAUGGCCCACCAAGGCGACGAUCUUUAGCUGGUCUGAGAGGAUGAUCAGCCACACUGGGACUGAGACACGGCCCAGACUCCUACGGGAGGCAGCAGUGGGGAAUAUUGGACAAUGGGCGAAAGCCUGAUCCAGCAAUGCCGCGUGAGUGAUGAAGGCCUUAAGGUUGUAAAGCUCUUUUACCAGGGAUGAUAAUGACAGUACCUGGAGAAUAAGCUCCGGCUAACUCCGUGCCAGCAGCCGCGGUAAUACGGAGGGAGCUAGCGUUGUUCGGAAUUACUGGGCGUAAAGCGUACGUAGGCGGUUAUUCAAGUCAGAGGUGAAAGCCCGGGGCUCAACCCCGGAACGGCCUUUGAAACUAGAUAGCUAGAGUCUUGGAGAGGUUAGUGGAAUUCCGAGUGUAGAGGUGAUAUUCGUAGA
rnacentral:rRNA from 1 species